rnacentral:rRNA from 1 species
GGAAAUAGGGCGUUAAAAGAUGUAGGUAUAUUUUCUAUAGGCAAAUCCGUAGAGAAUGCUGAAGUCCAACAGUACCAGGAGGCUCCGGCCGAGUGGAUAGAGAAUGUAAGCAGACUUCCGAGAAAAUCUUCUAAGCAUAUUGAUACGGUACCCGUACCGCAAACCGACACAGGUAGUCAAGGAGAGAAUCCUGAGGUGCUCGAGUGAGUCAUGGCUAAGGAACUAGGCAAAUUAAACCUGUAACUUCGGGAAAAGGGUUGCCUCUCUUUAGCAAUAAAGAAGGUCGCAGAGAAAUGGCCCAGGCGACUGUUUAACAAAAACACAUGGCUAUGCGAAAUCGUAAGAUGAAGUAUAUGGCCUGACACCUGCCCGGUGCUGGAAGGUUAAGGGGGGAAGUUAGUCGCAAGGCGAAGCUUUGAACUGAAGCCCCAGUAAACGGCGGCCGAAACUAUAACGGUCCUAAGGUAGCGAAAUUCCUUGUCGGGUAAGUUCCGACCUGCACGAAUGGUGUAACGAUCUGGGCACUGUCUCAGCCAUGAGCUCGGUGAAAUUGUAGUCACGGUGAAGAUGCCGUGUACCCGUCACGGGACGGAAAGACCCCAUGCACCUUUACUAUAGCUUCGCAUUGACAUUGGGUAGAUGAUGUGUAGGAUAGGUGGGAGGCGUUGAUCCUGUGCCGCUAGGUAUAGGGGAGCCAACGGUGAAAUACCACCCUUUAUUUAUCUGAUGUCUAAUCCGCAAGACCUGCGGAGACAGUGCGUGGUGGGUAGUUUGACUGGGGUGGUCGCCUCCGAAAGUGUAUCGGAGGCUUUCAAAGGUAUGCUCAAUACGCUUGGUAACCGUAUGUGGAGUGCAAUAGCAUAAGCAUGCUUGACUGUGAGACUGACAAGUCGAGCAGGGUCGAAAGACGGAUAUAGUGAUCCGGUGGCUCUGUAUGGAAGGGCCAUCGCUCAAAGGAUAAAAGGUACGCUGGGAUAACAGGCUGAUCUCCCCCAAGAGCUCACAUCGACGGGGAGGUUUGGCACCUCGAUGUCGGCUCGUCACAUCCUGGGGCUGGAGAAGGUCCCAAGGGUUAGGCUGUUCGCCUAUUAAAGUGGCACGCGAGCUGGGUUCAGAACGUCGUGAGACAGUUCGGUCCCUAUCUGUGAUGGGCGUAGGAAGUUUGAGAGGAUCUGACCUUAGUACGAGAGGACCGGGUUGGACCAACCGCUGGUGUACCGGUUGUGGCGUCAGCUGCAUCGCCGGGUAGCUACGUUGGGACGAGAUAAGCGCUGAAAGCAUCUAAGCGCGAAACUCACCUCAAGAUGAGACUUCCAUUAAGGGACGUCAGAGACUAUGACGUUGAUAGGCUGCAGGUGUAAAGGCAGAAAUGUCAAAGCUGAGCAGUACUAAUUACUCA